UUCGACAGCCAUAUCACCCUGCAACUCACACCUGGCAGCCCACUAAAGCUCAGCAGGUGUGAACCUGGUCAGUACCUGGAUGGGAGACUCCUGGGAAAAACUAAGGUUGCUGCUGGAA
rnacentral:rRNA from 1 species